rnacentral:rRNA from 1 species
GGUGAACGCUGGCGGCGUGCUUAAGACAUGCAAGUCGAACGGCAGUCUUCGGACUGUAGUGGCGCACGGGUGAGUAACGCGUAACUGACCUACCCCAAAGUCGCGGAUAACGAUUCGAAAGAAUCGCUAAUACGUGAUGUGCUGUCAGAUUGUGUUCUGCCAGUAAAGAUUGAUUGCUUUGGGAUGGGGUUGCGUUCCAUCAGCUAGUUGGUGGGGUAAAGGCCCACCAAGGCGACGACGGAUAGCCGGCCUGAGAGGGUGGCCGGCCAGAGGGGCACUGAGACACGGGUCCCACUCCUACGGGAGGCAGCAGUUAGGAAUCUUCCACAAUGGGCGAAAGCCUGAUGGAGCGACGCCGCGUGAGGGACGAAGGUCUUCGGAUCGUAAACCUCUGAAUCAGGGACGAAAGACACUUCGGUGGGAUGACGGUACCUGAGUAAUAGCACCGGCUAACUCCGUGCCAGCCGCCGCCGUAAUAC